CCUAAGGCUUUGACUGUGAGGUCUAACUCAGCUAAUGACUCCAGCUGGCCACUUUCUGGGCCCCCUGAAAGACUGCUGGGAAAGCAGUUUCCCCAUUUAGCUCCAGCUGUAGUGACAGACAGUCAAUAGUUUCUGCUUAAAGGCUGUCUUGGCAAGUUUCUGUGAUAUGGUACUCCUGGCUUCCUGGUUCCUGAUGCUUGUUUGGCUCUGUUCCUGGACUCUGGCUUUGGAUUUCCCCUUGGAUCUGGUUUCCUGAGUGUGCUUUCUUGGUUCCUGGACUCCAGCUUCUGGAUUUUCCCUCAGAUCUGGCAGGUCUGCUCCACAGAUAAAGAGGUCCACUGCUGAGGUGAAAAGAACUUGCUAGGCAAAUCUUGGUCCUACCCACAAGUUGUCAAGAGGAAAGUAUCAACAUCAGUGCCUGAAACUCUAUUCUACAUGCAACAAUGUAUCCAUUUGAACUAAUAAAAGCUGAAGACCAAUUUCUGGAAUUGAGCACCCACCCUAUUGACUAUUCCUGUAACCUAUAACAAUACCACUGCUGAGUCAAUCAAAAUCAAGGACCAACUCCCGCAACUGCACACGCAGACCCGGGUGACUUGACACCUGUCAAGAAACAUUCAAAGAAUGUCAUAUGAGGGUCAGUGACCUCUGGAUUGGGCGAGCCCAAAGGCUGGGGGAUCAUAGAACUCUGCCAGAGAGGGAUAAAAGUCAGUGAAGCGUGACUCCUGAUGGUACCCUUUCUUCCUUGAUCCGAUCAGCACCCAACCUACUGACCAGAAUGACAACCAGUGACCCCCUUCUAAAGGAGACAUCGCCUUGGAGAAAGCUUUGACUGGCCAUCGAUUUCAGACCCCACCUCCUUGGAUAGUUAUAAACCAACAUCAGUGCUCUGCUAUUACUGCAGCAGUUGUAUGUGUGUUUCAGUGCAUGUUACAGUGACCAGUACCCCUCAUGACUAACUCCACAUCCUGUACAAUAAAUUGGAACUAAUGAUCCUGUAAGCUGGUCCUUUGUAGCCAACAAGAGUUUUGGACCCACUUGCAAAACACUCCAGAGGAAAAAUGGUGUUUUGGUUUAUUUUCAUAAAGCUGUAGGAAGCAUGUUAGCUUACUACAAAACAUUAUCAAUGAGUCUUUGAAAUGGGUCUUGUAUAUCUUUCAUGCCUUAGAGACCCCAGGCCUCAAAGGGGAGAACUCUGAGGUGUUUAGAUUCUACAUAGGGCAAGUUAAGAACUGGUAUGUACAUGGAUAUGAUUUAAGCAAUGUCUAAUCUUGCAGGAACUGGAAAGAACCCUGCUUCAUUCAAUAAAUUGUGAGACAACUGAAAUUGAGGAAAGAGUUUCUUUG